UACGAAGGAUGCGAGCGUUAUCCGGAUUUAUUGGGUUUAAAGGGUGCGUAGGCGGCUUAUUAAGUCAGUGGUGAAAUCCUCAAGCUUAACUUGGGAAUUGCCAUUGAUACUGAUGAGCUUGAGUACACUUGAGGUAGGCGGAAUGUGUCAUGUAGCGGUGAAAUGCUUAGAUAUGACACAGAACACCGAUUGCGAAGGCAGCUUACUAAAGUGUAACUGACGCUGAGGCACGAAAGCGUGGGGAUCAAACAGG
rnacentral:rRNA from 1 species